rnacentral:lncRNA from 1 species
GGGGAGGGCAAUGCUGGGUCUUCUCGGGGUCUCUAGAAUUCUCGAGACUCGCUACUCCUGCGGAUCACAGGAAGGCUGAUGGGAUCAGGUCAGGAGAGGAAGGGGCUGCCUGGGCCCAGAGGAGUUAACAGCUCCCAGGCCCUGGCCCAGCGGGGCUGCCACGCUGCAGUCCAGCCGCAGCAACACAGCAAGCUAGGAUUUUUAGUAGAGGAGCCAGAGCCGCUUCCUGAUGGGCAAAACAGCUGGCUGCCUGGGGAAAACAGCUGGCCUGGCCCCAGCCUCCUGAGGACACAGGCAGAGCGUCCGAGGAGAACAGCUCCACAUCUGGACUCCUAGAAUGGGGGGCAUGGCCCAGAGGGAGAGCGUGGCCAUUUGGGGUGGGGUGGGCGUUGGGUGGGACCCUUGGAGAUGAGGGGCCGUGGGCAGAUUCCUGGAGCAGAAGCCAAGGUAUGCUAGGUCUGAGUGGGGUGGUGACUGGGCUGGGGUUUGAGGGUCUCAGUCUCCCCCCACCCUGCCCCAAUAGGAAAGAUGAAGGGCAGGGGAGCAGAUGGCGGGGCAGGACUGUGCCCAGCCCUGGGUCCUCUUGGAACCGGGCUUGGAAUCCGACAUGGGAGGGAGCCCCGUGGGGCUCCGGGACCCCCAUCUACCGAGCGGCACCAGGACCAGGACCAGGGUGUGUGCUCCACCUCUGGCCAGGAUCAGGGUCCCCUCGGCCACAAAGCAGGACAGGGGCCCAGAGAGCCCCCAACCCCGGAGACGUGAAGCUAGCAGCUGGCAUGUGUGCUACAUGGCCCUGAGAAUGAGGCCUUAGUCCUCAUAGAAUGGCAACUUCAAACUUUAGUUGGCAUCAAAAUCACCUGCAAGGGAGUUCCCGUCCUGGCUCAGUGGUAAUGAACCCAACUAGUAUCCAUAAGGACAUAGGUUCGAUCCCUGGCCUCACUCAGUGGGUUAAGGAUACAGCAUUUCCAUGAGCUGUGGUGUAGGUUGCAGACGAGGCUUGGAUCUGGCAUUCCUGUGGCUGUGAUGUAGGCCAGCAGCUACAGCUCUAAUUCCACCUCUAGCCUGGGAACUUCCAAAUGCCUUGAGUAUGGCCCUAAAAAGACCCCUCCCCCCAAAAAAUGUCUUGUUGAUCUAACUUCCACUCCCAUCCCAGCACUCCCAGAGUUUCUGAUUCAGUAGGUAUGAGGAGGGGCCUAGGAAUUUGCUUUUAUUUUAUUUUUUGGCUGCACCUGCUUCCUAGGCCAAGGAUCAUACCAGUGCCACAGCUGUGGCCCCAGCCACAGCACUGAAAACACCGGGUCCUUAACUGCUAGGCCACCAGGAAACUCCAGAAUUUGCAUUUUUAACAAUUUCCAGGUGUGGCUGAUACUGGCUAGUCCAGGGAACAUGCUUUGAGAUCCACCACUUCAGAGUUUCUGUGAAUUUGGUCCAAAAUUACCUUUGCAGACUAUGCCUUCCUGUUAUAUUUUGGGGCCAAACAUCAAGUAUAAGCAGGAUUAUAGGUGCUUGAUCAGCCCACCCCAGUCAGUGACCUCACCAUAUUGCUUUCUUUUUUAUUAUUAUUAUUUUUUAUGUUUAAAUUUUUUAUUAUAGGUGAUUUACAAUGUUCCAUCAAUUUAUGCUAUACAGCAAAGUGACCUAGUCGUACAUACAUACAAAUUCUCUUUCUCACAUUAUCCUCCAUCAUGUUCCAUCACAAGUGACUAGAUAUAGUUCCCUGUGCUACACAGCAGGAUCUCAUUGCUUAUCCUCUACAAACACACGACUUUGCAUCUACUAACCCCAAACUCCCAGUCCAUCCCACUCCCUCCCCCUCCCCCUUCCCUUGGCAAGUGUAAGUCUGUUCUCCGAGGCCACGAGUUGGUUUGGUUUCUUUUGUGUAGAUAGUUUCGUUUGCGCCAUAUAUUAGAUUCAAGAUAUACGUGAUAUCAUAUGGUUUUUGCCUUUCUCUGUCUGACUUACUUCAUUCACUUAGUAUGAGAAUCUCUAGUUCCGUCCAAGUUGUUACGAAUGGCAGGAUUUUGUUCUCUUUUAUGGCUGAGUAGGAGGAGUCCAUUGUGUAUAUACCACAUCUUCUUAAUCCAUUCACCUGUCAAUGGACAUUUAGGUUGUUUCCAUGUCUUGGCUACUUGUGAACAGUGCGGCAAUGAACAUAGGGGUGUAUGGCUCUUUUUCUUUCUUUUUUUUUUUUUGUUUUAGGGCCACACCUGAGGCACAUGGAGGUUCCCAGACUAGGGGUCCAAUUGGAGCUACAUUUGCUGGCCUAAACCACAGCCAUAGCAACGCAGGAUCCGAGCCACAUCUUUGAUCUACACCACAGCUCACGGCAACACUGGAUCCUUAACCCACUGAGUGGGGCGGGGGAUGGCACCCACAACCUCAUGGUUCCUAGUUAUGCUCGUUUCCACUGCGCCACAGCGGGAAUUCGCAUGGCUCUUUUUCAAUGAAAGUUUUGUCCAGAUAUAUGCCCAAGAGCGGGACUGCUGGAUCAUUGGGUAGUUCUAGAUUUAAUUUUCUGAGGUCCCUCCAUAGUGUUUUCCAUAGAGGUUGGGACCUCAUCAUAUUUCUAUUGAGAGCCCACCCUGUGCCCAGCUGGCCUUGAGCUAGGGGCUGGGAAUAAAAUGGUGAAGGAGGUAGAUGGGUCCCUGCCCCAGAACUCACGGCCAGGCAGGUCUGGCAGGUGAUCGUUCCAUUUGCAGGUCUAAAUGGCAGCCCCAAAUAAGGUCCAACCCAGAAGCUGACUUCACUUUCUACCUGCUCCUUCUCAGGUGUGUCCAGCCCACCUCAUGAGCCAUCCUGAUUCCUCGCUCCACCUCUCACCUCUAAUCCCAUAAGGCUGUGGGCUCUGCCUCCAGUAUACAGCCCUCCUCUGCCCACCAUCAUCUCUCCCUCUCGAAGGCUCUCCCGGCUUCCAUCCUUGCCUCCGUGGUCCACCCUCUGAGCUGGAAGAAGAGCAAUCUUUUAUAGACAAAUCACGCCACACUUCUGCUUCUUCCUUCCAAUGUCUUCCUAUUGCACUUACAAAAAGGAUCAGAGUUCCCACUCUGGCUCAGCAGGUUAAGAGCCCAACAGGGUCNGCACUUACAAAAAGGAUCAGAGUUCCCACUCUGGCUCAGCGGGUUAAGAGCCCAACAGGGUCUCCAUGAGGAUGUGGGUUCCAUCCCUGGCCUUGCUCAGUGGGUUAAGGAUCUGGUGUUGCUGCAAGCUGUGGCAUAGGUCGCAGAUGCAGCUCAGAUCCAGUAUUGCUGUGGCUGUGGUGGAGGCUGGCAGCUGCAGCUCUGAGUCAACUCCUAGCCGGGGAACUUCCAUAUGCCUCAGGUGCAGCCUUGAAAAAAAAAGAAAUCCUGGAGUUGCCGUGGUGGCUCAGUGGUUAAGGAAGCCGACAAGGAACCAUGAGGUUGCGGGUUUGAUCCCUGGCCUUGAUCAGUGGGUUAAGGAUCUGGCGUUGCCGUGGGCUAUGGUGUAGGUCGCAGACGUGGCUCGGAUCCUGAGUUGCUGUGGCUCUGGCGUAGGCUGGUGGCUACAGCUCUGAUUCGACCCCUAGCCUGGGAACCUCCAUAUGCCACGGGAGUGGCCCUAGCAAAGGCAAAAAGACAAAGAAAAAAGAAAAAAGAAAUCCUUCCAUAGCUUUAAGGCCCUGAGUGGUCCUCGCCUCCUACCACAGCCCUUCCCUUGCUCACUCUGCGCCAACUGCCCUGGCCUCCUUGCCCGUUCCCCUGCAGGGCCUUGGCCCCACCUGUUACCCCCAUCUGGAACCCUCUUCACCCUCAUCUGCCCUUGGCUGGCUCCCCUCCUGCUCUGAAAUGUCUUUACCGACCCCUGUGUUCCAUGCUGCCUCCCAUCCCCAGUCACUCUCUGUUCUCAUCACCUUGUUUUAUUUUGUUCAUAGCAUUUCACGUUCCUUGAAAUUAUCUAUUAGUUUAUCAGUUGGCUUGUUCCCUGUCUCCUUCCUCGCCAGAAUGUGAGCACGUUAGGAGCAGAGACUGUCUGUCGUGUGCACCUCUGUAUUCCCAGCACCCCAAUUUUUUCGCACACGGCAUGAGCUCAAUAAAUCUGGUGAACAAAUGGGAUUAUAUGGUGUGUCACGGAGGAGUAUGUCCCCCAGACGUGACCCUGAGGAAGGCUUUCCAGAGGGCUUGUAGGAGCUGGCCAGGAAGAGAAAGACCAGUUCAAGCGAGAAACAUCAACAACAAAGAAAGGAUGUGGGAAAGUCCUAAAGUAUGGAGUGUUCUGGAAACUGUACAUAAUCCAAUUUGACUGGAGCAGGAUAUGGGGGAGGGGAGGUCAGAGGAGUUAGAGAAGCCACAGGCCGACCAUGAAGGGCUUUGUUGUCCCUUAAGGGGUUUGAGCCCUAUGCUGAUGGCCAUGGCAGCCCCUGAAGGGUGUAACAUCACCUCUGAGUGCAGAAGUUUCCGGGGAGAAAGCCUGAGGGGGUGGGGGGUGCUGGAGGUGCAGUGGCUCAGGUGAGCCAUGCUGGUGCCCUGAGCAGAAGGGAAGAGGUGCCCAUGUGCCAGAGUUGCUGAGGGGGUCUGGUCAGGAUGACAGACUGGGCUGAGAAAGAGGCACUUGUUAUCAGCAAAAAUCAGGUCCCCAGCCUGCGAGAGGCCACCAGUUUUGGGGGGAAAAAAACUGGGUUUCUGUUUCGGACAGAUGGACUGUGGCUCCGGUGGCAAGCUGAGACACGUGUCAGUUUUGCGGGAAGAAGGCGUGGUCCAGCAGGUCAGCUGCUGCAGGCAGCCUGCUUGGAUGCCGAGGGAUGGCCCUUGGGGGAGUGGCCAGGAGGAUGCCUUUUUGGCAGGAGCACUUUGGAUGGAGCAGCUUUGGUGUGUGUCAAGCAGCGAAUGAAGGUGAGGAAGUGAGACUAGGAGCAAAGCACACAUCAGAUCAGCCUUUCCAGCGGUUUGGAGGGAGGGAGGCAACUGGCUGUUUUCCUGUUUUAAGUUGGGGAAGGAUUUCGCUUAUGGCGCAGCGGGUUAAGGAUCUGGCGAUGUUACUGCAGCGCUUGGGUCACUGCUGUGGCGCGGGUUCGACCCCCUGGCUCAGGAACUUCCAUAUGCUGUCAGUGUAGCCAAAACAAAAAGCAUUAAGUUGGGGGAGAUUUAAGUCCUUUGGAAUGCCGAAGGAAGGAUCCGGAAGAGAGGGAGGCUUGAGGCUGGUGAUUCAGGAAAGGCAAGAGGUGGCUUUCGGAGCCCAAGGGCAGUUCUGUUAUGAUGAAGGGGUGCCUCUUCCAUGGUGGUGAGAGCUGGGGAUGCCUUCUGGGCAGCAGGGGGGCGUGUCGGAAGCUGGAAAUGAGAAUUUUCGGGUGACGACUUCUCUUUUCUCCACAAAGGGCAGAGAGACUUUCACUGGGGGAGGGGGAGUGGAGUGAGGGCGACAGAAGACCGACCGGGCAUCUGAAAUGCUGCUAAGGAGCUCAGGGACACUGGAUUGCUGGGCUCAGUGAAAG